rnacentral:rRNA from 1 species
AACCUUUACACUGCACGCCAGUGCGAUAAGGGGACUCCAAGUGCGAGGGCAUAUAGUCCUCGCUUUUCUGGACCGUAAGGAGGUCCAGGAACAAGGGCUGGGCAAGACCGGUGCCAGCCGCCGCGGUAAUACCGGCAGCCCAAGUGAUGGCCGCUCUUAUUGGGCCUAAAGCGUCCGUAGCUGGCCAGGCAAGUCCGUCGGGAAAUCCGCGUGCCCAACACGCGGGCGUCCGGUGGAAACUGCCUGGCUUGGGACCGGAAGACCUGAGGGGUACGUCCGGGGUAGGAGUGAAAUCCCGUAAUCCUGGACGGACCACCGGUGGCGAAAGCGCCUCUGGAAGACGGAUCCGACGGUGAGGGACGAAAGCUCGGGUCACGAACCGGAUUAGAUACCCGGGUAGUCCGAGCUGUAAACGAUGUCUGCUAGGUGUGACACAGGCUACGAGCCUGUGUUGUGCCGUAGGGAAGCCGUGAAGCAGACCGCCUGGGAAGUACGUCCGCAAGGAUGAAACUUAA